rnacentral:tRNA from 1 species
UGUGGCUCAGUGGUAGAGUGCUUGCCUAGCAUGUAUGAGGCACUGGGUUCAAUCCUCAGCA